rnacentral:tRNA from 1 species
CCCGCGUGGUCAGGGUAGGGGCGGAUCGGCUGUCUUGUAAACAGCAGGUCGUCGGUUCGAGUCCGACACGCGGCUCCA